rnacentral:tRNA from 1 species
GCGGUUGUGGUGGAACGGCAGACACGCCACUUUGAGGGGGUGGUGAGGGAAACCUCGUAUGGGUUCAAAUCCCAUCAACCGCA